CUUGUAAAUCCCAGCACUCAGAAGGCAAAGCAGGAGAGCCACAAGUUCAAGGCCAUCUUAUGCUACAGAGUAAUAUCUUUUCUUAAGCGCUGCAAAAAAAUAAAAUGAAAAACUUGAGUCAACAAACAGAAAGCCAGAGUAACUUCUGAAGUCCCCAAAAGUGGGAAUCAGACAGCAGUGCUAAGGAACAAAUCGAGGGGUGAAGAAAGACUGCAGAAUGGGCAAUCCCAGUGAUCUGAACAAAAAGUACCUGUGUGAAGAGAAACCAGGUGAUCUGCGGUGCUUCAGGAGAAACAAAGAACAAAUGAAAAAGAAGAGGUAAAAAAAGAACAGAGCUCCACACUUAGAAGGAAGGCCAAAGAAGGAGAAAUGUCUUAAGUUCUGAGCCAUCCUGGGCUACAUGGUAAAUUCUAGACCAGCCUGGAUUAGAGUGAGAUUAUGUAGCUAAUAUGACAGCAAGUAUCAAGAUCUAGUUCCCUACCUGAAUUUUUAAAUCAGUUCACCAAAAAUGUCAGGUAUAUUGAAAUAACCAGGUCAGGUGGUGGCAGCGAUGGCAGUGGCAGAGGCACACACUUUUAGUCUCCUAGCACUUGGGAGGCAGAGGCAGAUGGAUCUCUAUGAGUUUGAGGCCAGUCUGGUCUACGGAGCAAAUUCCAAAAGAGCCAGGGUUAUACAGAGAAACCUUAUCUGAGAGAGGGAGUGGGGCAGAGGGAGAGGAAGAGAGGGAGGAAGAGAGAGAGGGGAGAAGGAGGAGGAGAGGUAGGGAGAGAAGGGGAGGGAGAGAAAAAACUGACUGACUGGGGUGUCUGAGGACUGUCCCAUUUCUCUGCAAGCUAUUUGCUAUUCGAUAAAACUUAAAAAUUAAAAUUUAAGUCCUGAAGUAUAAGGCAAAUCUGGAAGCAAAACCAUCAAUCUCGGUACCAUUUAUUUUGAAAUAGGGUUUCUCUCAUGCAGCCAGCCCAGGCUGGCCUCAAAUAUGCCCAAAUAACUACCUUUGUUUCAGUACGCAUCUACAUGUCAACAUUGAGUGGCCCUGAACAGAGUGGAGAACGUCGAGGAGCCAGGAGGCCAGGCCCAUGGAUCUGCAAAUGUGGUGACACAGAGCUCCUCUGGGGACCAGACACUGAAACCUGAGGCUGAGGGUCAGGGCCUUGUGCUCCAGCUAUGAGACUCCACAUCAGACCCAAUGUGUGGCCAGUGUAACAUGAGAACCCUGUUUAAUACUCUUUAAUGUAUUUAACACAAUUAUGGGAAAAGGAACUAACUCCAAAUGGUGUGCACUUAGGACUCUCAGCAUUGCCUUUUUCUGUAAUCACCAAGGACCCUGAGCGCUGGCGUGUUCAUCAGGAGACCUGAGCUAAAAUUGCUGAUGGUGGCUGCAGGGUUGAAGACCUGGCACCUCUUCCCAGACUGGUGGCAGGUUGAACGGGUGUGGUCCAGAGCUAAGUGAGGGAGACCAGGUCCUUUGAAACUCAUCUGAUGAUGGCUUCUGGCCAUAGCAAGUGUUGGGUGGUGAUGGGGAACAAGGGGGUUGAGAACAAGGAGGAAAGCUGCACCCCCUGAAUAAAGAUGGGGAGCUAGAAAACUAUGAAUUCCUCAUCUAUGGCCAAUUUCAGAGGGAGGGGAGGGUUACAAUCUAACAUUUGGCUAAGGGGAGGGGAGGGUUACAAUCUAACAUUUGGCUAAGGAUAGGGGAGGGUUACAAUGUAACAUUUGGCUAAGGGUAGGGUACAGGUGGAAAAGUGAGGACUAUGGUUUGCAUGGGGCAUCACUUAAAACUUAAGGAAGCAAGGGUGUGACUAAAGUGCCCUUAAGACCAGCAGUAGCCCUAAGGCCACUACCUAAAGCCUUUCUAUCUACUCUAAGGGCCACCAUGCAGCUGUGGUGGGAAUGUGGGAUGGGCAAAGGCAUUCAGGGGAUGUGUCAGCAGCAGGUAGGUGAUUGUGUGACAUGUCUAUUCUCGUUGCCUCAGCUGUGUCCACAGAUCCCAAAGGAAGCCAAUUUCAACACACCUCCUUGGUCUCAGAAAUUCAACAAGGCAGACAGUGGGUAUACUCAAUGGAUGAUGUCGCACAGCACAAACGGAAGAUUUUACACAGCAAGACUUGAGUGUUUCAGUGCCCCAGCUGAGGCCAGAAGAUGGCAUCAGAUAUCCUGGAACUGGAAUUACAGAGAGCUGUGAGCCACCUUGUGGGCACCUGGACCCAAUCCUGGGUGCCCUGAAAGAGCAACGAGCGUCCUGAACCACGAAGUCAUCUUGCCAGCCUCAAGUGCAACUUUAAACAGUUAGGUUCUGUUAAUGUUUUCUUAAACGUGCUUUUAUUUACAACCAUGCUAACUGUCAUGAUGUCUUUGGAAACACAUCUCUUUUAAGAAGCAGGGCUGUGGAGACGUUGGAAUGGCCGACGGUCUUUGCUGCCGAGCCUGAGUUCCGUCUCGGGGACCAGUGUGGUCAGAGGAGAGAUCUGACUCUGUGAGCUGUCCUCUGACCUCCAGAAGCAUUUGAACAUAUGGGGACUCACAUAACAGAUAAUGUAACUUU